CAGCAGCCGCGGGAAUACGAAGGGGGCUAGCGUUGUUCGGAUUUACUGGGCGUAAAGGGCGCGUAGGCGGACUGAUAAGUCAGGGGUGAAAUCCCAAGGCUCAACCUUGGAACUGCCUUUGAUACUGUUUGUCUUGAGUUCGAGAGAGGUAAGUGGAACUGCGAGUGUAGAGGUGAAAUUCGUAGAUAUUCGCAAGAACACCAGUGGCGAAGGCGGCUUACUGGCUCGAAACUGACGCUGAGGCGCGAAAGCGUGGGGAGCAAACAGGAUUAGAUACCCGCGUAGUCCCUGUCUCUUAUAA
rnacentral:rRNA from 1 species